GAACGCUGGCGGCAGGCCUAACACAUGCAAGUCGAGCGGUAGAGAGGUGCUUGCAUCUCUUGAGAGCGGCGGACGGGUGAGUAAUGCCUAGGAAUCUGCCUAGUGGUGGGGGAUAACGUUCGGAAACGGACGCUAAUACCGCAUACGUCCUACGGGAGAAAGCGGGGGAUCUUCGGACCUCGCGCCAUUAGAUGAGCCUAGGUCGGAUUAGCUAGUUGGUGAGGUAAUGGCUCACCAAGGCGACGAUCCGUAACUGGUCUGAGAGGAUGAUCAGUCACACUGGAACUGAGACACGGUCCAGACUCCUACGGGAGGCAGCAGUGGGGAAUAUUGGACAAUGGGCGAAAGCCUGAUCCAGCCAUGCCGCGUGUGUGAAGAAGGUCUUCGGAUUGUAAAGCACUUUAAGUUGGGAGGAAGGGUAGUAACCUAAUACGUUGCUACUUUGACGUUACCGACAGAAUAAGCACCGGCUAACUUCGUG
rnacentral:rRNA from 1 species